CGUUCUAUGGACGAAUUGGUAAAGGCAUCGCCGAUCACAGGCGACGUUGCGGGUUCGAGUCCCGCUGGAACGU
rfam:Operophtera brumata OBRT01_Sc05060, whole genome shotgun sequence.